GCAGUGGUGGUUCAGUGAUAGAAUUCUUGCCUUGCAUGUGGGAGACCCAGGUUCGAUUCCCAGCCAGUCCA
rnacentral:tRNA from 1 species